CGCGCAGGCGGCCUCGUUAGUGGGAUGUGAAAUGUCCUGGCUCAACCAGGGAAGUGCGUCCCAUACUGCGGGGCUUGAGUACAGGAGAGGAUGGGGGAAUUCCCGGUGUAGCGGUGAAAUGCAUUGAUAUCGGGAGGAACACCAGUGGCGAAGGCGCCCAUCUGGCCUGUUACUGACGCUGAGGCGCGAAAGCUGGGGGAGCAAACA
rnacentral:rRNA from 1 species